rnacentral:snRNA from 1 species
AUACUUACCUGGCAGGGGAGAUACCAUGAUCACGAGGGUGGUUUUCCCAGGACGAGACUUAUCCAUUGCACUCUGAGUGUGUGGAUCCCUGCGAUUUCCCCAAAUGUGGGAAACUCGACUGCAUAAUUUGUGGUAGUGGGGGACUGCAUUCAUGAUUUCUCCUA